rnacentral:rRNA from 1 species
AUUGAACGCUGGCGGCAGGCCUAACACAUGCAAGUCGAGCGGAGCGGCGGACGGGUGAGUAAUGCCUAGGAAUCUGCCUGGUAGUGGGGGAUAACGUCCGGAAACGGGCGCUAAUACCGCAUACUAUCAGAUGAGCCUAGGUAGGAUUAGUUAGUUGGUGGGGUAAAGGCCUACCAAGGCGACGAUCCGUAACUGGUCUGAGAGGAUGAUCAGUCACCCUGGAAAUGAGCCACGGUCCAGACACCUACGGGCGGCAGCAGGUGCGAAUUUGGGACAAUGGGCUAAAUCCUGUUUCACCCCUGCCGCGUGUGUUAAGAAGGUCUUCGGAUUGUAAAGCACUUUAAGUUGGGAGGCGUUACCAACAGAAUAAGCACCGGCUAACUUCGUGCCAGCAGCCGCGGUAAUAC